ensembl:lncRNA
GAUAUUUUUACUUUUUUGUGUCUUGAUUUUGUUUCUGCUGCUAGAAUUUACAACAGGGGCACGUAGUUGGACAUUAAAGACUCAAUGGACAGCUACUUUGAGAGCUGGGACAGUUACAGGAAAACUUCUCCAUUUGUGUGUUCCUCACCUGAGUGAACGCUACUGUAAAUACCGGUGGGAAUAAAUCCAAAGAAAAGGAAAAGAGGAACCAGGGCUGGUGUCCAGAUGAGACUGACAAGGUACCGAAGGAAAACCAGCAGGAAUUUCCGAUGUUUACGUGAA